rnacentral:rRNA from 1 species
GUGAACGCUGGCGGUAGGCCUAACCCCUGCAAGUCGAACGGCAGCACAGUAAGAGCUUGCUCUUACGGGUGGCGAGUGGCGGACGGGUGAGGAAUACAUCGGAAUCUACUUUUUCGUGGGGGAUAACGUAGGGAAACUUACGCUAAUACCGCAUACGACCUACGGGUGGAAGCCGGGGAUCUUCGGACCUUGCGCGAUUGAAUGAGCCGAUGUCGGAUUAGCUAGUUGGCGGGGUAAAGGCCCACCAAGGCGACGAUCCGUAGCUGGUCUGAGAGGAUGAUCAGCCACACUGGAACUGAGACACGGUCCAGACUCCUACGGGAGGCAGCAGUGGGGAAUAUUGGACAAUGGGCGCAAGCCUGAUCCAGCCAUACCGCGUGGGUGAAGAAGGCCUUCGGGUUGUAAAGCCCUUUUGUUGGGAAAGAAAAGCAGCAGGUUAAUACCCCGCUGUUCUGACGGUACCCAAAGAAUAAGCACCGGCUAACUUCGUG